GGAGAGGUGGCCGAGUGGCUGAAGGCGCGCCCCUGCUAAGGGUGUAUAGGGAAACCUAUCGAGGGUUCGAAUCCCUCCCUCUCCGCCA
rnacentral:tRNA from 1 species